UCUUUUCUUUUCUUUCUAUCUUAUGCCUCUCGUUUUCUUUUUGUUUUUAAUUAACCCUCUGUCUUUAAUUUCGUUUUUCAUCACCUCAUCUCCUCCCUCUCCGACACCCGACACCAAUCAGCCUGCAUCCCCUUCUCCUUCGCUCUGACCACCACUGGCGCCGCCUCAUCUUCCGACUGGCGCCGGUUUCUUUGAAGAAGCCACCCCUUUCUGAAGAAUCCGACUCGAGCGGCCUGUUAUCGCCGCCCUUUCUGAAGAUGCCGACCUGUUGCCACUGCCGAUUGGCUCUCCUUCUCCUUUCUCUGCUG